GUGUUUAUAGCCCUCUGAGUUAAUCACUUAACUAAACUGUUUUAACUAAACUGAAAACAAACUCCAGAGUCACAACAAUGAUGUUUUUCAUCAUUUGGGCACUCUGCUGCAAUCAAGGUUCUGUGGGUCAGGUUGUGACUCAGUCUGGAGAUCAGACAGUGCAGUCUGGUCAAACUGUUACUAUUGAAUGUAACCACACACCAAGAGUUAAUUGCUGGGAUUCACCUGAGAGCAAAAAAUAUUGUAUGUCCUGGUACCACCAGAUUCCUGGAGAAAUUCCUAAACUCUUGAUCUAUUACACAUCAAAGGCAGCUUCAGGAGUUUCCUCUAGAUUCAGUGGCAGUGAGAGUGGAAACCAGAUUGACUUCAAACUGACCAUCAGUGGAGUCCAACCUGAAGAUUCAGGAGUUUAUUACUGUCAGAGUGAAUAUAAUAAGGCAGAUCCUAAGAACCCAGACUGGGUGUUCACACAGUGUAAAAGCAUUGUACAAAAACCUCUUUCAAUAAACUACCCUCCUCAGUUCUGACUCACUGCAGAUUUGAAGAGCAUUUCUCAGCUCACUGAUUUUUCCAAAACGCACACAUAAACAGAUAUAUAUAUAUAAACAUGUGAAUUUUCAGUACUGUCCAAAUUUCUGCAGAAAUUGCUAAUGUAUAUAUGUUAUAAAUAUAAAGUGCCAAACUGAAAAAAAUAAA